UCCGAGUUGACCCCGGCAGUCUCCUGCGAGUCCCCGCCAUUACGCGCUGGCAACACAGGACAAGGGUUGCGCUCGUUGCGGGACUUAACCCAACAUCUCACGACACGAGCUGACGACAGCCAUGCACCACCUGUAUACCGACCACAAGGGGGGCCACAUCUCUGCAGCUUUCCGGUAUAUGUCAAACCCAGGUAAGGUGGGGAUGACGUAGGAGGAAUUCCA
rnacentral:misc_RNA from 1 species